rfam:Myotis davidii contig107306, whole genome shotgun sequence.
GUGUUCACUUUGGCAGCACAUAUAGUAAAAUUGGAAAGAUACCGAGAAGAUUAGCAUGGUCCCUGCUCAAGGAUGAAACACAAGUUUGUGAAGCAUUCCAUAUUUUU